rnacentral:rRNA from 1 species
GGGUAACCUACCUAUNUGACUGGAAUAACUCCGGGAAACCGGGGCUNAUGCCGGAUAACAUAUCGAACCGCAUGGUUCGAUAGUGAAAGACGGUCUUGCUGUCACUUAUAGAUGGACCCGUGCNGUAUUAGCUAGUUGGUGAGGCAACGGUUCACCAAGGCAACGAUACGUAGCCGACCUGAGAGGGUGAUCGGCCACACUGGAACUGAGACACGGUCCAGACUCCUACGGGAGGCAGCAGUAGGGAAUCUUCCGCAAUGGGCGAAAGCCUGACGGANCAACGCCGCGUGAGUGAUGAAGGUCUUCGGAUCGUAAAGCUCUGUUGUUAGGGAAGAACAAAUGUGUAAGUAACUGUGCACAUCUUGACGGNACCUAACCAGAAAGCCACGGCUAACUACGUGCCAGCAGCCGCGGUAAUACGUAGGUGGCAAGCGUUAUNCGGAAUUAUUGGGCG